UAAUUUAAUAAAAUUAGGGCUAAAAUACAAGUAUCCAUUAUAUAAUAGAGUCAGUCCAUAAUUCUCUAUCCUCUAUCUGUGCUACACUCCUUUCUGCUACUCCUCUGACCUAACCGGGCGGCGGCUCUACUCCGGUGAGGUCGAAGUCCUUAUCUCCGGAUGGAGGAUAUGCUAAUGCUAGGGCGUCCGGCGUCCGGGAACAAAGGCGAGCUUGAGUUUGAGUUUGAGGAUAAUUCAGUUAGGAGUUGCAUUAGCUUCUAUAGUUUUUUGUCUUGCUGCUCCAGAUUUCCCCUACAGGACUGCUUACGGCUUUUCGGGUUCGGUGAUGAGUAUCCAGGCCGUAUUCAGCGUCGGACUUGCUAGCAUUGACGUUUAUGCUGUGAAAAUGAAUAUAGACCUUCGGAGUUCGGACCACCUGCUUUUUCACCCUAAUUCUUAUUAUUGACUGGGUGACAAGUUAUUUGUCGCUAGCAGCAGCGUCUUCAUCAAUGGCAGCAAACAUGUAUGACCAUGGAAUUGGUACAUGUAAAGGAGUUCACUACGUCAUGUCAAGGCUGACUAAGUCCCGAAAUCGAGACAUGUAUGGAUCUGUGAGUUUCGGGUUAGGACCAAAUUCGGAUCAGCUGUACCUCGGAUUCAAGUCAAUUUGGAUUGUGUUUGCGUUCAAGCGUAGAUCGGAGUUAAAUUUUUAUUGUUAGCUUGCAUGUGUUCUAUUAAUCAAGCGACUCUCGAAUUUGCGAUAAAAUUCAAAUCACUUUAUUAUUCUAAGAAUCUUUAGACUAAAUAAUUUCUUUUAAGGCUCCUGUUACUUUUUGUCUCCAAAUAAUUUAAUAUAAAAUAAAUAGAAUAUAUUUUUA